UGCAGUCGAGGGGUAACAGGAGUAGCUUGCUAUUUGCUGACGACCGGCGCACGGGUGCGUAACGCGUAUAGAAUCUACCUUAUACUGGGGGAUAGCCUUUGGAAACGAAGAUUAAUACCCCAUAGUAUUAUUUUUUGGCAUCAUUAAAUAAUUAAAGUUUCGGCGGUAUAAGAUGACUAUGCGUUCUAUUAGUUAGUUGGUAAGGUAACGGCUUACCAAGACUUCGAUAGAUAGGGGUCCUGAGAGGGAGAUCCCCCACACUGGUACUGAGACACGGACCAGACUCCUACGGGAGGCAGCAGUGAGGAAUAUUGGACAAUGGAGGCAACUCUGAUCCAGCCAUGCCGCGNGUAGGAAGACUGCCCUAUGGGUUGUAAACUACUUUUAUAUGGGAAGAAUAAGAUCUACGUGUAGAUUGAUGACGGUACCAUAAGAAUAAGCACCGGCUAACUCCGUGCCAGCAGCCGCGGUAAUACGGAGGGUGCAAGCGUUAUCCGGAAUCAUUGGGUUUAAAGGGUCCGUAGGCGGGCAUAUAAGUCAGUGGUGAAAGUCUGUGGCUUAACCAUAGAAUUGCCAUUGAUACUGUAUGUCUUGAAUUAUUGUGAAGUGGUUAGAAUAUGUAGUGUAGCGGUGAAAUGCUUAGAGAUUACAUAGAAUACCGAUUGCGAAGGCAGAUCACUAACAAUAUAUUGACGCUGAUGGACGAAAGCGUAGGUAGCGAACAGGAUUAGAUACCCUGGUAGUCUACGCCGUAAACGAUGGAUACUAGUUGUUUGGUUUUCGGACUGAGUGACUAAGCGAAAGUGAUAAGUAUCCCACCUGGGGAGUACGUUCGCAAGAAUGAAACUCAAAGGAAUUGACGGGGGCCCGCACNNGCGGUGGAGCAUGUGGUUUAAUUCGAUGAUACGCGAGGAACCUUACCAGGGCUUAAAUGUAGUCUGACAGCUUUAGAGAUAGAGUUUUCUUCGGACAGAUUACAAGGUGCUGCAUGGUUGUCGUCAGCUCGUGCCGUGAGGUGUCAGGUUAAGUCCUAUAACGAGCGCAACCCCUGUGGUUAGUUGCCAGCGAGUAAUGUCGGGAACUCUAGCCAGANNCCGGUGCAAACCGUGAGGAAGGUGGGGAUGACGUCAAAUCAUCACGGCCCUUACGUCCUGGGCCACACACGUGCUACAAUGGUAGGGACAGAGAGCAGCCACUUAGCGAUAAGGAGCGAAUCUAUAAACCCUAUCUCAGUUCGGAUUGGAGUCUGCAACUCGACUCCAUGAAGCUGGAAUCGCUAGUAAUCGGAUAUCAGCCAUGAUCCGGUGAAUACGUUCCCGGGCCUUGUACACACCGCCCGUCAAGCCAUGGAAGCUGGGGGUAC
rnacentral:rRNA from 1 species